rnacentral:rRNA from 1 species
ACGCUCGACACCUACGGGAGGCAGCAGUGGGAAUAUUGCACAAUGGGGGAAACCCUGAUGCAGCGACGCCGCGUGAGCGAAGAAGUAUUUCGGUAUGUAAAGCUCUAUCAGCAGGGAAGAAAAUGACGGUACCUGACUAAGAAGCACCGGCUAAAUACGUGCCAACAGCCGCGGUAAUCUGAGCGGCUGGCAAGGC